UGGAAAACCUAUUUUCAAGUGAACUUGGAGCAUGGGCACUCUCUUGGAGAGAAGGAAUAAAAAGAGAGAACUGCAAAAAAAGUUUGAAGAGCCCUGUGCUCCUGAAGGGCUGCCUGCCCUUCAUUUUAGCAGCACACGAGAACCGUGAGAGGAAGACAGUUCCAGGCUUUGGACCAAAUAAAGACAUUUGCUGAAUGUGAGCCAAGACCCUUACCGGAUGGCAAACCUUUCAGCUGAGAUGGAUUAGGAUAGGAUGUUUUCCUGAAUUGAUUACAACCUGGUGGAGCUGCUGGAAGGCUCUCAGAGGCCCAUGGGCUCCACCAGGAUGACAUGCUGACGAGCGGCCCCAUAAUGACAGGAAAGUGUGAGGUGCUCCAGGAUUCCUGAAGCCAGCGAAGCGCCAUUGUGCCCGAUGGACUCAUCUCCUCCAGGUCUCGUCUCCCCAGAGGGUUCCCUGGCACAGCACAGGCCUGAGGUGGCACACAGGCCUCCUGUCCCCGUC